rnacentral:rRNA from 1 species
AUGCACGCUGGCGGCGUGCCUAAUACAUGCAAGUCGAGCGAACGGACGAGAAGCUUGCUUCUCUGAUGUUAGCGGCGGACGGGUGAGUAACACGUGGAUAACCUACCUAUAAGACUGGGAUAACUUCGGGAAACCGGAGCUAAUACCGGAUAAUAUUUUGAACCGCAUGGUUCAAAAGUGAAAGACGGUCUUGCUGUCACUUAUAGAUGGAUCCGCGCUGCAUUAGCUAGUUGGUAAGGUAACGGCUUACCAAGGCAACGAUGCAUAGCCGACCUGAGAGGGUGAUCGGCCACACUAGAACUGAGACACGGUCCAGACUCCUACGGGAGGCAGCAGUAGGGAAUCUUCCGCAAUGGGCGAAAGCCUGACGGAGCAACGCCGCGUGAGUGAUGAAGGUCUUCGGAUCGUAAAACUCUGUUAUUAGGGAAGAACAUAUGUGUAAGUAAAUGUGCACCUCUUGACGGUACCUAAUCAGAAAGCCACGGCUAACUACGUG